UCCAGACUCCUACGGGAGGCAGCAGUGGGGGAUAUUGCACAAUGGGGGGAACCCUGAUGCAGCGACGCCGCGUGGGUGAAGGAGCGUUUCGGCGCGUAAAGCCCUAUCGGCAGGGAAGAAGGAGGACGGUACCUGACUAAGAAGCCCCGGCUAACUACGUGCCAGCAGCCGCGGUAAUACGUAGGGGGCAAGCGUUAUCCGGAUUUACUGGGUGUAAAGGGGGCGCGGACGGCAGCGCAAGCCAGGAGUGAAAGCCCGGGGCCCAACCCCGGGACUGCUCUUGGAACUGCGCGGCUGGAGUGCAGGAGGGGCAGGCGGAAUUCCUGGUGUAGCGGUGAAAUGCGUAGAUAUCAGGAGGAACACCGGUGGCGAAGGCGGCCUGCUGGACUGCGACUGACGUUGAGGCCCGAAAGCGUGGGGAGCAAACAGGAUUAGAUACCCGAGUAC
rnacentral:rRNA from 1 species